rnacentral:rRNA from 1 species
AGAGUUUGAUCCUGGCUCAGGAUGAACGCUAGCGGCAGGCUUAACACAUGCAAGUCGAGGGGCAGCGAGUCGUAGCAAUACGAUGUCGGCGACCGGCGGAAGGGUGCGUAACACGUGACCAACUUGCCUCGGACAGGGUGACAAGCGGUGGAAACGCCGUCUGAACACCCGUAACACAAGUCAUCGCAUGAUGGCUAGUUAAAAUCUACGGAGGUUCGAGAUAGGGUCGCGGGACAUUAGCUAGACGGCGGGGCAACGGCCCACCGUGGCGACGAUGUCUAGGGGUUCUGAGAGGAAGGCCCCCCACACUGGGACUGAGACACGGCCCAGACUCCUACGGGAGGCAGCAGUGAGGAAUAUUGGUCAAUGGGCGGAAGCCUGAACCAGCCAUGCCGCGUGAGGGAAGACGGCCCUAUGGGUUGUAAACCUCUUUAGUCGCAGAGCAAUAAGGGCCACGCGUGGUCCGAUGAGAGUAUGCGAAGAAUAAGCAUCGGCUAACUCCGUGCCAGCAGCCGCGGUAAUACGGAGGAUGCGAGCGUUAUCCGGAUUCAUUGGGUUUAAAGGGUGCGUAGGCGGACGAGCAAGUCAGCGGUGAAAGACCGGGGCCCAACCCCGGAAGUGCCGUUGAUACUGUUUGUCUAGAAUGACGUCGCCGUGCGAGGAAUGAGUGGUGUAGCGGUGAAAUGCAUAGAUAUCACUCAGAACACCGAUUGCGAAGGCAUCGCACGAGGCGAGGAUUGACGCUGAGGCACGAAGGCGUGGGGAUCGAACAGGAUUAGAUACCCUGGUAGUCCAUACCGUAAACGAUGAUUACUAGGUGUUGGAGGAUUGACCCCUUCAGUGCCGCAGUUAACACAAUAAGU